CCAUUUCACAGGAUAAAUUACCCUUGUAAUUCCAUCUUUUUACAAUUACCCAUGUUAUCCCAUGAUGUCUCUGGUUUCUAGGUACCCAGCUGUACUUCAAAGAUGCCAGCUGCAAUUUUCAAGGAUGAAUCUGGUUCACAUGCCUUGGUCCCAGGCUGCUAGUCCAGAGUCAAGAAGAGCUGGAGCCAGCAGGACCUGUCAUAUUAACAAAGUGAAGGAGAAGGCUGUACAGUACAGUAACAACUCACCUGGGCCAUCUGUUGAGGACAGGAGCAGCAGCACAUGGGACAUGCUGGCAGAGCUCAGGAUUCUGUCCAGGUGGAUGGAAUGAGGCUGGGAAGCAAGGCUGCAGCUUUUGUUGCUGAACUGUAUCUGUACUGCAAAGCUCAUUGUAAUUACAAGAUCUUGAAAAGUAAAUGACAGCUGUAUUAGAAGAUCAGCAAAUUGCUCUCCUAACAGCUUCUGUGUCAUUUCCAUUGAUGUACCAAAUUUUGACAGAAAAAUCUCACGUAUCAUCCUGGUUAGA
rnacentral:lncRNA from 12 species